rnacentral:rRNA from 1 species
CCUACGGGGGGCUGCAGUGGGGAAUAUUGCACAAUGGGGGAAACCCUGAUGCAGCGACGCCGCGUGAGUGAAGAAGUAUUUCGGUAUGUAAAGCUCUAUCAGCAGGGAAGAAAAUGACGGUACCUGAUUAAGAAGCACCGUCUAACUACGUGCCAGCAGCCGCGGUAAUACGUAGGGGGCAAGCGUUAUCCGGAUUUACUGGGUGUAAAGGGAGCGUAGACGGCAGCACAAGUCUGGAGUGAAAUGCCUGGGCUUAACCCCGGAACUGCUUUGGAAACUGUGCAGCUAGAGGGCAAGAGAGGAAAGUGGAAUUCCUAGUGUAGCGGUGAAAUGCGUAGAUAUUAGGAGGAACACCAGUGGCGAAGGCGGCUUACUGGACUGUAACUGACGUUGAGGCUCGAAAGCGUGGGGAGCAAACAGGAUUAGAUACCCUUGUAGUC